rnacentral:rRNA from 1 species
CCUACGGGAGGCAGCAGUGAGGAAUAUUGGUCAAUGGACGGAAGCCUGAACCAGCCAUGCCGCGUGCAGGAAGACGGCUCUAUGAGUUGUAAACUGCUUUUGUACAAGAGUAAACCUGAAUACGUGUAUUCAGCUGAAAGUACUGUACGAAUAAGGAUCGGCUAACUCCGUGCCAGCAGCCGCGGUAUAACGGAGGAUCCAAGGGUUAUCCGGAUUUAUUGGGUUUAAAGGGUGCGUAGGGGGAUGGAUAAGUCAGCGGGAAAAGCCCGGGGCUCAACCCCGGCGAGCCGUUGAAACUGGCGGGCUGGAGUUGGAGAGAAGUACGCGGAAUGCGCGGUGUAGCGGUGAAAUGCUUAGAUAUCGCGAAGAACCCCGAUUGCGAAGGCAGCGUACUGGCUCCACACUGACGCUGAGGCACGAAAGCGUGGGUAUCGAACAGGAUUAGAUACCCUAGUAGUC